GUUGUGGUCAUGCUUGGGCAUUGCUUUGCUCUAAAGCUACAUUUGCCUUCCACUCCUGCAGAAGCCAUUAUGCAGCACAAGAGCUUGAUGAGACCAAGAUAAGUUGUUAUUACAUCCAGGGCAUUCCAGUUUGUAUGUAGUCAUUAUAAGGCUUGGAUUGCCCCUUUUUUAUUCUUUAUCUGUAGUCAACUCAUGAGUGUGAGGAAUCAUGCUCAAUUUAUACAAAAUAAAACCUGAAUAUAUAAAAAGAAAAUGCAGGUAUAGACAAUAAUACAUUUUGUCCAGAAAAAUUUACCCCUAAGUCAAGCUUUUUAUUUUUAAAUCAGUGGCACUCCGAGAUGGACAGGCUUGUGACCGGUGUUGGGAAAGAUGAGCCUUAAGGACAGCUGUACUACCGUGACAAACAUAGGUGUCUACAGUAUGUAUAUCAGCAUGUGGAGUGACAAACAAGGCCAGUGUAUAAAAAAAAGAAAAGUAUUUAAAAAAAAAAGAAACCAGAAUGACAAGGAGUCAAAU